UACCGCAUACGAUAUUUUCUGGCAUCAGAGAAUGUUAAAAGGUCCGUUUGGAUCACUAAUGGAUGAGGGUGCGGCGUAUUAGUUAGUUGGUGGGGUAAUGGCCCACCAAGACAAUGAUACGUAGCCGAACUGAGAGGUUGAUCGGCCACAUCGGGACUGAGACACGGCCCGAACUCCUACGGGAGGCAGCAGUAGGGAAUUUUUCACAAUGGGCGAAAGCCUGAUGGAGCAAUGCCGCGUGACUGAAGACGGUCUUCGGAUUGUAAAGGUCUGUUGUAAGGGAAGAACAGUAAGUAUAGGAAAUGAUACUUAUUUGACGGUACCUUACCAGAAAGCCACGGCUAACUAUGUGCCAGCAGCCGCGGUAAUACAUAGGUGGC
rnacentral:rRNA from 1 species